rnacentral:rRNA from 1 species
UACGGAGGGAGCUAGCGUUGUUCGGAAUUACUGGGCGUAAAGCGCGCGUAGGCGGCUUUGUAAGUUAGAGGUGAAAGCCCGGGGCUCAACCCCGGAACUGCCUUUAAAACUGCAUCGCUUGAAUCCGGGAGAGGUGAGUGGAAUUCCGAGUGUAGAGGUGAAAUUCGUAGAUAUUCGGAAGAACACCAGUGGCGAAGGCGCUCACUGGACCGGCAUUGACGCUGAGGUGCGAAAGCGUGGGGAGCAAACAGG